AGGACGAACGCUGGCGGCGUGCCUAACACAUGCAAGUCGAACGGGGAUUAGGAGCUUGCUUCUAAUUCUAGUGGCGGACGGGUGAGUAAAGCGUGAGCAACCUGCCUAUUAGAGGGGGAUAACUUCCGGAAACGGAUGCUAAUACCGCAUAUAGUACAUAAUUCGCAUGAAUAAGUGUAUGAAAGGAGCAAUCCGCUGAUAGAUGGGCUCACGUCCGAUUAGUUAGUUGGUGGGGUAAUGGCCUACCAAGACCGCGAUCGGUAGCCGGGCUGAGAGGCUGAACGGCCACAUUGGGACUGAGAUACGGCCCAGACUCCUACGGGAGGCAGCAGUGGGGGAUAUUGCACAAUGGGGGGAAAAACCCCCUGAUGCAGCAACGCCGCGUGAGGGAUGAAGGUUUUCGGAUUGUAAACCUCUGCCCUUAGGGAAGAAAUAAAUGACGGUACCUAAGGAGGAAGCUCCGGCUAACUACGUGCCAGCCGCGGC
rnacentral:rRNA from 1 species